GCGCUGAACGCAACCUUCACCAGGUCCGACUGCUUCAGACCCGCCUGAUGGAUGUACUGGCGCUGCACAAUGUCCAGCUGCAAAGCAAGGCCACAGUGUGCUUAAAAUUCAGGGUGCAGCAGAGAACGCCAUCAGAGGACAUGGAGAUGUACUCGAUAGGAGACCCCAAACGAGGCAGGAAAUCCUUCUGGCAUGAAGAUUCAUUGUGCCACUGGACUAGAACAGAUUCAACUCCACCACUCAACAACCUGGUUCCUUUUCCAGCAACAAAAUACAGUUAAAAGAUCCUUCCUGGAUACACUUAAAAUUCUAGAAAUUGACUUUUUAGUAAGUGGACAAACUUGGGAGCUUCUACAAAUUGUUUCCUGUCUGCUGCAAUACUUCAAAUUUGAGGUUUUGUUUGAUGGAGAUUUUUGGGGGGUUUUUGUAGGGUUUUUUUCAUUGCUUUGUUUUGGUUAUUAUUUUUCUUUUACUCACCCUCCACAGAAUAAGCCAGAUCCAUAACAAUAUCAUGAUGCCAGUGCAGUGCAGAAUAUGUGUACGCUUUCCUGUGAUGGAAAUUCCUCCUGUGUAGAGAGGAAAAAAAUCAAUUCUUUACUCACAUCAACAACAGAGUAAACAAAAUGAAAUAUUGAAUUGAAUCAAUUAUAUCAUCCUGCCCUCUAACUUCUAGACUAGUUUAUCCUAUGCUCAAGUGAUGCAGAAGGAGGGAAGG